rnacentral:rRNA from 1 species
UUCCGGUUGAUCCUGCCGGACCCGACUGCUAUUUGGGUGAGGAUAAGCCAUGCGAGUCGAAUGGGAUACCUAAAUUUCCCAUGGCGAACUGCUCAAUAACACAUGAUCAACUUACCCUAUAGAGAAAAAUAACCUCGGGAAACUGAGGAUAAUGUUUCAUAGUUGAAAAGGCUUGGAAAAGUUUUUCGACCAAAGGGAUAAGAAAAAUGGUUUUUAUCCGCUAUAGGAUAGGAUCGUGGUCGAUUAUGGUCGUUGGUGAGGUAAUGGCUCACCAAGCCGAUAAUCGAUAGGGGCCGUGAGAGCGGGAGCCCCGGGAUGGGUACUGAGACAGCGACCCAGGCCUUACGAGGCGCAGCAGGCGCGAAACCUCCGCAAUACACGAAAGUGUGACGGGGUUACCCAAAGUGUUCAAUUUUGAACUGUGGUAGGUGAGUAAUGUUCCCUACUAGAAAGGAGAGGGCAAGGCUGGUGCCAGCCGCCGCGGUAAAACCAGCUCUUCAAGUGGUCGGGAUAAUUAUUGGGCUUAAAGUGUCCGUAGCCGGUUUAGUAAGUUCCUGGUAAAAUCGGGUAGCUUAACUAUCUAUAUGCUAGGAAUACUACUAUACUAGAGGGCGGGAGAGGUCUGAGGUACUACAGGGGUAGGGGUGAAAUCUUAUAAUCCUUGUUGGACCACCAGUGGCGAAGGCGUCAGACUGGAACGCGCCUGACGGUGAGGGACGAAAGCCAGGGGAGCGAACCGGAUUAGAUACCCGGGUAGUCCUGGCCGUAAACGAUGCAUACUAGGUGAUGGCACGGCCAUGAGCCGUGUCAGUGCCGUAGGGAAACCGUUAAGUGUGCCGCCUGGGAAGUACGGUCGCAAGGCUAAAACUUAAAGGAAUUGGCGGGGGAGCACCACAAGGGGUGAAGCCUGCGGUUCAAUUGGACUCAACGCC